GAUGAACGCUGGCGGCGUGCCUAAUACAUGCAAGUCGAGCGAAUGGAUUAAGAGCUUGCUCUUAUGAAGUUAGCGGCGGACGGGUGAGUAUCACGUGGGUAACCUGCCCAUAAGACUGGGAUAACUCCGGGAAACCGGGGCUAAUACCGGAUAACAUUUUGAACCGCAUGGUUCGAAAUUGAAAGGCGGCUUCGGCUGUCACUUAUGGAUGGACCCGCGUCGCAUUAGCUAGUUGGUGAGGUAACGGCUCACCAAGGCAACGAUGCGUAGUCGACCUGAGAGGGUGAUCGGCCACACUGGGACUGAGACACGGCCCAGACUCCUACGGGAGGCAGCAGUAGGGAAUCUUCCGCAAUGGACGAAAGUCUGACGGAGCAACGCCGCGUGAGUGAUGAAGGCUUUCGGGUCGUAAAACUCUGUUGUUAGGGAAGAACAAGUGCUAGUUGAAUAAGCUGACACCUUGACGGUACCUAACCAGAAAGCCACGGCUAACUACGUGCCAGCCGCCGCAGUAA
rnacentral:rRNA from 1 species